UGCUAAGUUGAUGGCGACCGGCGCACGGGUGAGUAACACGUAUCCACCUGCCGAUGACUCGGGGAUAGCCUUUCGAAAGAAAGAUUAAUACCCGAUGGCUCCGCAUGGUUAAAGAAUUUCGGUCAUCGAUGGGGAUGCGUUCCAUUAGGUUGUUGGCGGGGUAACGGCCCACCAAGCCUUCGAUGGAUAGGGGUUCUGAGAGGAAGGUCCCCCACAUUGGAACUGAGACACGGUCCAAACUCUACGGGAGGCAGCAGUGAGGAAUAUUGGUCAAUGGACGAGAGUCUGAACCAGCCAAGUAGCGUGAAGGAUGACUGCCUAUGGGUUGUAAACUUCUUUUAUACGGGAAUAAGUGAGGCACGCGUGCCUUUUUGUAUGUACCGUAUGAAUAAGGAUCGGCUAACCCCGUGCCAGCAGCCGCGGUAAUACGGAGGAUCCGAGCGUUAUCCGGAUUUAUUGGGUUUAAAGGGAGCGUAGGCGGACGCUUAAGUCAGUUGUGAAAGUUUGCGGCUCAACCGUAAAAUUGCAGUUGAUACUGGGUGUCUUGAGUACAGUAGAGGCAGGCGGAAUUCGUGGUGUAGCGGUGAAAUGCUUAGAUAUCACGAAGAACUCCGAUUGCGAAGGCAGCCUGCUGGACUGUAACUGACGCUGAUGCUCGAAAGUGUGGGUAU
rnacentral:rRNA from 1 species